AACAAGUGUUUUAAAAAAAAAAUUAGAAAACAAGUGUUAUUGUUAUUAACGUUUAGACUAAUAUUUUAGAAACUAAUGUUUUAGAAAUUAAAAUCUGCGCCAUGCGUAGGCACGUUGAAUAUUUUUCGUUUUCAUACUAUAACUUUAAGUUUUAUAAAUCCUAAUAUGAUAUGUGACGUUAGAUAUGUUUAAGCACAAAAUAUUUUUAAGAAAACGUCAAAGUAGAAGAAAAAUAAUAAAACAAAGUCACACAGAAUUAGAGAGGACUACAAAAUUUGGAAAAGAAUACUUUAUAAAAAUAGAAAAUCUCUAUCUAGUAAAUCAACAGUCACUUUAUCAAAAACUGCAACAUUUUCCUGCUGACACAUAAGCAAAGUCACAAUUUAUUGUGUUUUCAAGCGUAAACAAUAAUUAUUUUCUCAUUAAAUUAAAAUAUUUAUGAAAAUAUAAUCCCUAAACUCUUUCCUUCUUUCUCGCCGUCUUCCUCACGACCUCCCCAUAUCUUUUUUUUUUGAUAAAAUCUUCCCCAUAUCUUGCAAGUUGCAACCGUUCUUGCUAAUUUCUAUUGUUAAAUUUUGUUCGUGAUUUUCUAAUUACGAUUCCCAAAUUUCUCGCUUUCAGAUCAAUUACUUUCUCUUCUUUCAUCCCUACGCCAUGGCAGAUUUACAAUUUUUACAUUAUUUGUAUCCGCUUUUCUUUCUCGAACGUUCAUCUUUACUCUCCUUCUCCUACCAGGUCAAUUAUGGCUGAAGAACCGAACGACGAGAACAUGUGUAAUUCCAAUUAAGGAAAACAUGGGUUUCAUUUUCAGGAUCGUGUGAAACAUUUUUAGAAAAAGAAAACUCUUACACCAUCGUGACCAACCCAGAGACAUGCCAAGUAAGAACGAAAACCAAGCCAUACAAGCACUAGAUAUAUUGAAAUACACUAGAGAAAACCAAGUUUUUGCUCGACGACUUCAUAUAUUCUGGGUUUGAAAAUGGUGUUAUGGAAGUGACUACUCUGAACACAAGAGUCAUAUAUCUAAAACGCUGAGACUAUACGACAAAGGAAGACAGAAGCAGAUGAACAAGAUACCCAUUCUCCAUAUAUAAGGUUGUCAAACAUGUUUUAUCAUGCAAUUGAAAUUUCAAUAGGAUUGAGGUGAUUACAAAUUUAUAGACCA